UAUUUGGCAUAGUUGGUUGAGUAUUUGCCUACUGCCCAAAAGGUUGCUGGUUCAACUCUAGCUGAGAAUAA
rnacentral:tRNA from 1 species